GAAGAUCAUCGUUAUGAUCACUUAAAACAGAAGUCCACCGCCAGAAUCUGGUGCAUACCCGGAUAAACCGUCGACGCCAACGUACCACGAGCAGCGUGUGUAAUUACCGCUAUGGAUGAUCUAAAUAAGGACCAGAUAGCCCUGUUGAAGAAGGCUUUCAGUGCCUUCGAUCACGAAAAGAAAGGUAGUAUCGGUACGAACAUGGUAGGCACGAUAUUGACUAUGUUGGGUUACGAGCUCAGCGAAAAGACGCUGCAGGAAAUCAUUAAGGAAGUCGACGAGGACGGUUCUGGAGAACUCGAGUUUGAAGAAUUCUGCACGCUAGCUGCUAGAUUCUUGGUAGAGGAGGAUUCGGAAGCGAUGCAGCAAGAAUUACGCGAGGCAUUCCGGUUGUAUGACAAAGAGGGCAACGGCUACAUAACUACCGCGGUUUUCCGCGAUAUCCUUCACGAACUCGACGACAAGCUGUCGCCGGAAGAACUCGAUCUAAUGAUCGAAGAGAUCGACGCUGAUGGCUCAGGAACGCUCGAUUUUGACGAGUUUAUGGAAGUGAUGACGGGCGGCGACGAUUAGGGCAAAGCGGAGCCGAUAAUGAAGAUGGGCACUCGGAGGCUGGUUGUUAGCCGCGCAAUUGGCAACGCCCGUCAGAGAGAUAGAAAGAGUGUUCCUUCUCCAGGCGCGCGCUUUUGCAAACCACGGCCGAACGGAAAAUUGGACGUUUAUAAUCAUCCGUAUAAUUGUUGGCUGACUUUCAUCGUGAGAUGAAGAUCACGAUGUUUUCCAAACGCUUCUAAUAAUCGAUGAUGCGAAAAGCAAUGAAAAUUCCGGAUUGCCUCGAAUAAAACGGAAUAGCGUUUGUGCAAAGUAAAGUAGCAAAUUUCUUCGCAGCAAAGUGAGUACGCGCGCAAAGUUCUAGUGCAAUUUUCUCUAGAUUAUUACGUCGCAAAGAAAGUUAUAAUUUCACUCCAAAAAAUUUAGAGAGUAAAUCAUACGUAAUAAGUUAUUAAGUGAUAUUAUUGAUAUGCCUACAUAAAUUAUAAGUUAUUUCUUCUUACGCGUGAGUGUCUUGCCCCUGAACGAUAUUUCCCGUUGCACAAAGUAGCGCAUUGCGUUCAAGUAUGCAAGGCGUAUACUAUUUCCUUCGUAAGUCUUAAUCAAUACAACCGAUUUUAUAACUUUAUAAUCAACACGAGAUUAUUUCAAGAAAUUGUAACUUUCUUUCACCUUUUGAAAUAUUAUUUAUGCAAUAACGCGACUCAGUAAUCAGAUUCCGAAUAAUUGUAACUGUAUUAUUAAACAUAUUAAGUAAUUUAGUAA